UACGGGGGGAGCAAGCGUUGUUCGGAUUUACUGGGCGUAAAGGGCGCGUAGGCGGCGCAACAAGUCACUUGUGAAAUCUUCAGGCUUAACCUGAAGCGGCCAAGUGAUACUGUCGUGCUAGAGUGCGGAAGGGGCAACUGGAAUUCUUGGUGUAGCGGUGAAAUGCGUAGAUAUCAAGAGGGAACACCUGCGGCGAAGGCGGGUUGCUGGGCUGACACUGACGCUGAUGCGCGAAAGCUAGGGGAGCGAACAGG
rnacentral:rRNA from 1 species